ACGGUCCUAAGGUAGCGAAAUUCCUUGUCAGGUAAGUUCUGACCCGCACGAAAGGCGUAACGAUUUGGGCGCUGUCUCAGCUGUAGACUCGGUGAAGUCUUAGUACCUGUGAAGAUGCAGGUUACCCGCGACUAGACGGAAAGACCCCAUGGAGCUUUACUGUAGCUUGAUAUUGGACUUUGAUGCAAGAUGUACAGGAUAGGUAGGAGACUGAGAGACAUGCACGCCAGUGUGUGAGGAGUCAAUGUUGGGAUACUACUCUUCUUGUAUUGGAGUUCUAACCGGAUGCCAUGGAACUGGCAACGGGACAGUGUCAGGUGGGCAGUUUGACUGGGGCGGUCGCCUCCCAAAGAGUAACGGAGGCGCCCAAAGAUACCCUCAGCUUGGAUGGAAAUCAAGCGCAGAGUGCAAAGGCAUAAGGGUGUUUGACUGCGAGACCUACAAGUCGAGCAGGGACGAAAGUCGGGCUUAGUGAUCCGGCGGUGCUGAAUGGAAAGGCCGUCGCUCAACGGAUAAAAGCUACCCUGGGGAUAACAGGCUGAUCUCCCCCAAGAGUUCACAUCGACGGGGAGGUUUGGCACCUCGAUGUCGGCUCAUCGCAUCCUGGGGCUGAAGUAGGUCCCAAGGGUUGGGCUGUUCGCCCAUUAAAGCGGUACGCGAGCUGGGUUCAGAACGUCGUGAGACAGUUCGGUCCCUAUCUGUCGUGGGCGCAGGAUAUUUGAUGGGAGCUGUCCCUAGUACGAGAGGACCGGGACGGACGUACCUCUGGCGCACCAGUUGUUCCGCCAGGAGCAUAGCUGGGCAACUACGUACGGAUCGGAUAAACGCUGAAAGCAUCUAAGCGUGAAGCCGACCCAAAGAUAAGAUAUCCCACUGAUUUGAUCAGGUAAGACCCCUUGAAGACUACAAGGUCGAUAGGCACGAUGUGUAAGUGGAGCGAUCCAUUCAGCAAGCGUGUACUAAUAGGUCGAGGGCUUGACCAC
rnacentral:rRNA from 1 species